CCUGACACCGACACGAGAGCGACUGCGCAUGUGCGAGCGGCGCACGCAAGCGCUACUGUACUGAGUGAGAUUCUUGGUUAGCUUAGCCUGUCCUAUCCAAGUAGCCCAGCACUCUGGGGUUACUCGUCCUAUCCCGAAGCGUGUGAGCUGAAGGAGAGUGGACGGGCUCGUGAAGAUGACUUCUAUGUUGAGGAAGUCAUCCCAAAAACAAAAUAGUGAAAUACCGUAUACAAUACAAAGCCAAUAUAAUAAAAAUUAUAAAAAUAUUAAAAUAAAUAAAUACAUUUUUAUAUAUUUAAUUAUUUUUAUCCAUAUAAUUUUUUUUUUUUUUUAAUUUAUAUAUUAUUUAUAUAUUACAUAACUGGAUCUCUGAGAAACUGAGAAAUGUUGCAUUGGCAAUUGAUUUACCUCGUACUUUUUGUUUAAUAGUAAUUUUAUGUGCUUUAAAAAAAUCUUUCUAUUCAUUUUUUUGUUUGUUUGUUUAAUUCAGUUCUAACUCAGUAAUUUUAGUACGUUAACUUAUUUUCACAGCAGCUUUUCCCAGUGCAUUGGUUUGCUUUAGCAGACUCUCCUGACAUGCACACGUGUGUUAUGCUCAGAUUCCCAGCACUCUCAUGCUUCUGUGUGUGUGUCCUCACUGACAUAACAUUGGAGAGUGUGUGAACUUGUGUUAAAUGUUGAUCUUCUGGAUGUGGUGUGUGUGUGUAUGUGUGUGUGUGCAGUACUGGAGCAGCGUGAGGAUCAGAUGCAGGGUUUGGCCUGGAAGGAGGACGGAUCUCUGCUGGCUUCAUCCUGCAAGGAGAAGAAGCUGCGUCUCUUCGACCCUCAGCCUCUCACACUGAGACUUACUCCUCACAGAGCGGCUUGUUUUCUGACCACAUCCAGCUGGCACCGCAGGAGCCCCCCAUUAACAUCACAUUCACUCCAGCGCCUUUAAUGAGCCGACACGGGCCAAGCCAAACAAAACCCAGCCUGACAGGCCUCUGUUUACUCACAAAGAGCCACUGACAGCUCCACGGCGCUGAAGCACGGGCCGCAGUGUAAACAGACUCCAGCUCAAGGCCAAAGCAGAGCCUGUAAAACAACGCUUUCAUGAACACCGUCCGUUCAUGGAGCGAGCGCCAUUCUUCGACAGGUGGGGUAAAAAUAGAGGCUAAUUGUAUGUGGUAUUUAGGAAACGGUGUAAUUUGCGCUUUUGGACGGCACGAGCGCGAUCUGUAAUCAGCGCUCGCGCACGCUCGAGCACACGGCUGUAUUUAGGUGGCUGGCACGAGCGCCUGUGCUCCAAACUGUGGUUUCCAGAGCCGCUCGCUUUGAGAUUUCCUGCUGCGUCUUGAUUUUUAGAUGAUAAAUGCAUAUUUAGGGGCCUCACUCGCACCAAACCGCUCCGAGCUCAGACUAGUUUUUGUUUUUAGACUCUGGCUUGUGGUUUGUGCAUCUCUAACCUCCUCAUCACCGUGAGAUGCAGCUAUCCAUUUUUAGUUCGGUUUUAGAUUUAAUAAACAAGAUACACACUAUAUCGACAGCAUUUCUGACAUUAUUUCUG
rnacentral:lncRNA from 1 species